GACGAACGCUGGCGGCGUGCCUAACACAUGCAAGUCGAACGGAGAGCUACGAGAGCUUGCUUCUAUCAAUCUUAGUGGCGAACGGGUGAGUAACGCGUAAUCAACCUGCCCUACAGAUGGGGACAACAGUCGGAAACGACUGCUAAUACCCCAUACGAUCUGGUCUCGCCAUAGAGCGAAAGUGAAGGGGGGCCCCCGUAUAUGAGACAUCACCGAGGGGGGUGAGCGUCUGAUUAGUUAGUUGGGGGGGUAACGGCCUACCAAGACGAUGAUCAGUAGCCGGUCUGAGAGGAUGAACGGCCACAUUGGGACUGAGACACGGCCCAGACUCCUACGGGAGGCAGCAGUGGGGAAUCUUCCGCAAUGGACGAAAGUCUGACGGAGCAACGCCGCGUGAGUGAUGACGGCCUUCGGGUUGUAAAGCUCUGUUAUUCGGGAAGAAAGGUUUUCUUGCAAAUAGUGAGAAGGAUUGACGGUACCGGAAGAGAAAGCCACGGCUAACUACGUG
rnacentral:rRNA from 1 species